GACGAACGCUGGCGGCGUGCCUAAUACAUGCAAGUCGAACGCAGUGGGGACGGGUGAUUAACACGUGGGUAACCUCCCAUCAGAGGGGAUAACACUUGGCAACAGGUGCUAAACCGAUACUGAUGGAUGGACUCGGGGUGCAUUAGCUAGUUGGUGAGGUAACGGCUCACCAAGGCCACGAUGCAUAGCCGGCCUGAGAGGGUGAUCGGCCACACUGGGACUGAGACACGGCCCAGACUCCUACGGGAGGCAGCAGUGGGGAAUAUUCGGCAAUGGGCGAAAGUCUGACCGAGCAACGCCGCGUGAGUGAAGAAGGUUUUCGGGUCGUAAAGCUCUGUUGUUGGAGAAGCGGUAUCUAACCAAAAAGCCACGGCUAACUACGUGCCAGCAGCCGCGGUAAUUC
rnacentral:rRNA from 1 species